UAGUACAGGCGCUACCUUCGUACGGUGCCCUAAUUGGGAGUCUUUAUGGAUCUUUUGUUAGAUGAAGCAUUGGCUAAUCCUGAGAUGGCCAGGUUUAUCAAUAAUGACCAACUGGAGAGGUUUCGUGGUACUGGUGAAGUGCGUAUUGAGGAUGAUAUUUUGAUUACUGAAAAUGGAUGUUGCAACUGGACUACACUAAGUUCCAUGAACUGUCCAAGAAAUUGAAGAUUGGAUUGCCGGUGUUGAUGAUGAUUCCAAAUUCGAUUGAAUGAAUUUACAACAUUUCGAAGCUGUUAUUGAUAUCAUUUUUGUUUAUUAUGUUAAAAAUUGUAAAAAGAGCAUUGUAUAAUUACAUGUAUAUAUUGAGAAAUUGAGUUACUGAUGGGUGUAUAUUCUACAUGUUUGAAUAAAAUUGUUGUUUUAUACUUUUAACUAUAAA